GCUCCGUUGGUGAACCAGCGGAGGGAUCAUUACCGAGUUUACAACUCCCAAACCCAAUGUGAACGUUACCAAACUCUUGCCUCGGCGGGGUCACGCCCCGGGUGCGUCGCAGCCCCGGAACCAGGCGCCCGCCGGCGGAACCAACCAAACUCUUUCUGUAGUCCCCUCGCGGACGUUAUUUCUUACAGCUCUGAGCAAAAAUUCAAAAUGAAUCAAAACUUUCAACAACGGAUCUCCUGGUUCUG
rnacentral:misc_RNA from 1 species